rnacentral:rRNA from 1 species
UUUUGGACAAUGGGCGCAAGCCUGAUCCAGCCAUUCCGCGUGAGUGAAGAAGGCCUUCGGGUUGUAAAGCUCUUUCGCAAGGGAAGAAAGAUUACUCUCUAAUAUAGAGUGAUUAUGACGGUACCUUGAUAAGAAGCACCGGCUAACUACGUGCCAGCAGCCGCGGUAAUACGUAGGGUGCGAGCGUUAAUCGGAAUUACUGGGCGUAAAGCGUGCGCAGGCGGUUUUGUAAGUCAGAUGUGAAAUCCCCGAGCUCAACUUGGGAACUGCGUUUGAAACUACAAGACUAGAAUAGGUCAGAGGGGGGUAGGAUUCCACGUGUAGCAGUGAGAUGCGUAGAGAUGGGAGGAAUAUCGAUGGCGAAGGCGGCCCCCUGGGAGGCAGAUUGACGCUCAUGCACGAG